rnacentral:rRNA from 1 species
AUGAACGCUGGCGGCGUGCCUCAUCCAUGCACGUCGAGCGAACAGAUGAGGAGCUUGCUCCUCUGACGUUAGCGGCGGACGGGUGAGUAACACGUGGAUAACCUACCUAUAAGACUGGGAUAACUUCGGGAAACCGGAGCUAAUACCGGAUAAUAUAUUGAACCGCAUGGUUCAAUAGUGAAAGACGGUUUUGCUGUCACUUAUAGAUGGAUCCGCGCCGCAUUAGCUAGUUGGUAAGGUAACGGCUUACCAAGGCAACGAUGCGUAGCCGACCUGAGAGGGUGAUCGGCCACACUGGAACUGAGACACGGUCCAGACUCCUACGGGAGGCAGCAGUAGGGAAUCUUCCGCAAUGGGCGAAAGCCUGACGGAGCAACGCCGCGUGAGUGAUGAAGGUCUUCGGAUCGUAAAACUCUGUUAUUAGGGAAGAACAAAUGUGUAAGUAACUAUGCACGUCUUGACGGUACCUAAUCAGAAAGCCACGGCUAACUACGUG